GGUUUUUGGUACGUAUGCGUGAUUACUUCGUAAUCCUGAAUCGUGCAUGCUAGUGGGGUUUGGCCUCCACUAGUAUCUUUGAAGAUUUUCCUUCUCAGAGAAAAAAAAAAAAAAAAAAGCCAAAUGCCUCGUCAUCUAAUUAGUGACGCGCAUGAAUGGAUUAAUGAGAUUCCUACUUGCGGCGCAGAACGCGAGGAUUGGAAGCACUUCCUAUGUGCUUGUCCCCUCUAUACAGACUUGCGAGACCUUGAUGGACUUGGAGUGCAGUACACGGAUGGCGACUGGACCUUCUCCGAUGUGACGGCUUCUCAGGAGAGAAUGCGGACUCUCGACAGGUUCGCCGGACUGGCGUUCUCCAGGCGACAGCAGCUGCUGAAUGCACAAGCGGCGCACGGGCUGGGUGGAUUCCCUAUCCAGACCGGUCGGGGCUAAAAGGGAGGAUCGAGCUGAGUCCGUAAGAUCGGUACCACGGGUUGUGCAGUUCCAAGGCUGCACAUUGAGGUCGGCCCCCUAGUGGGAGUAUCGUGGUGGCUGUGGUUGAUACCCAAACGUUACGCGGGGAGAGCCGCUAGGCUCCUCGUGGAGUUGCGCUCUCAACCGGGUGCCGAGACCCAUAGAUCGGAAGACGUGUUAGAUACACCUCGCCCCUCACCAAGGGGGAUUGUAUGCCCGACCAGGAUACUUUCAAUUGGUACCAGAAGAGUCGCUAUGUACAUAGCUAUAGCUUCUUUUUAGGGGCGCUAACUGGCGCAUUGUACCAGGUUCCUGCGUAUGUAGCGGUGGUGCGUGAUGGCGUGAUAUAUGUAAAUAUAUCGCACUAAUCGAGGCUAAGCUGCAAAUAAACAUUAGACGCCGUGGUUGAAAUCCCUCCCUGAGGAACCGCCACGUAAAAUAAAGCUGAGAGAUCAGAUUCAUUCUGUCCCUAUCUACUAUCUAGCGAAACCACAGCCAAGGGAACGGGCUUGGAAUAAUUAGCGGGGAAAGAAGACCCUUUUGAGCUUGACUCUAAUCUGGCAGUGUAAGGAGACAUAAGAGGUGUAGCAUAAGUGGGAGAUAUUAGAUUUCGGUUUGGUAUCGACAAUGAAAUACCACUACUCUUAUUGUUUCCUUACUUACUUGAUUAAAUGGAACGUGUAUCAUUUCCUAGCCAUUAUACGGAUAUAUUUAUUAUAUCUUAUGGUAUUGGGUUUUGAUGCAAGCUUCUUGAUCAAAGUAUCACGAGUUUGUUAUAUAAUCGCAAACAAAUUCUUUAAUGAGAAAAUGCAUUUAUGUAUUUUCAAUUUGAAAAUUUGGUAUAACUCCAAUUACUCAGGUAUGAUCCAAUUCAAGGACAUUGCCAGGUAGGGAGUUUGACUGGGGCGGUACAUCUCUCAAAUAAUAACGGAGGUGUCCCAAGGCCAGCUCAGUGCGGACAGGAAACCACACAUAGAGCAAAAGGGCAAAUGCUGACUUGAUCUCGGUGUUCAGUACACACAGGGACAGCAAAAGCUCGGCCUAUCGAUCCUUUUGGUUUAAAGAGUUUUUAACAGAGUGUCAGAAAAGUUACCAUAGGGAUAACUGGCUUGUGGCGGCCAAGCGUUCAUAGCGACGUCGCUUUUUGAUCCUUCGAUGUCGGCUCUUCCUAUCAUUGUGAAGCAAAAUUCACCAAGCGUUGGAUUGUUCACCCAUGCAAGGGAACGUGAGCUGGGUUUAGACCGUCGUGAGACAGGUUAGUUUUACCCUACUAAUGACAAAACGUUGUUGCGACAGCAUUCCUGCGUAGUACGAGAGGAACCGCAGGUACGGACCAAUGGCACAAUACUUGUUCGAGCGAACAGUGGUAUGACGCUACGUCCGUUGGAUUAUGCCUGAACGCCUCUAAGGUCGUAUCCGUGCUGGACUGCAAUGAUAAAUAAGGGGCAAUUUGCAUUGUAUGGCUUCUAAACCAUUAAAAGUUUAUAAUUUAUUUUAUAAACGACAAUGGAUGUGAUGCCAAUGUAAUUUGUAACAUAGUAAAUUGGGAGGAUCAUCGAUCACCUGAUGCCGCGCUAGUUGCAUAUAAAAACAUUAUUUAAUACAAUGACAAAGCCUAGAAUCAAUUGUACACGACUUUUGUAACAGGCAAGGUGUUGUAAGUGGUUGAGCAGCUGCCAUACUGCGAUCCACUGAAGCUUAUCCUUUGCUUGAUGAUUCGAUAUAUAUAAAU
rnacentral:rRNA from 1 species